rnacentral:rRNA from 1 species
GAUGAACGCUAGCGGCAGGCUUAAUACAUGCAAGUCGUGGGGCAGCGCAGAGUAGCAAUACUUGGGCGGCGACCGGCAAACGGGUGCGGAACACGUACACAACCUUCCUACAAGUGGGGAAUAGCCCAGAGAAAUUUGGAUUAAUACCCCGUAACAUAACGAUGUGGCAUCACAUUGUUAUUAUAGCUUCGGCGCUUGUUGAUGGGUGUGCGGCUGAUUAGAUAGUUGGCGGGGUAACGGCCCACCAAGUCUACGAUCAGUAGCUGAUGUGAGAGCAUGAUCAGCCACACGGGCACUGAGACACGGGCCCGACUCCUACGGGAGGCAGCAGUAAGGAAUAUUGGUCAAUGGACGCAAGUCUGAACCAGCCAUGCCGCGUGAAGGAUUAAGGUCCUCUGGAUUGUAAACUUCUUUUAUCUGGGACGAAAAAAGGCGAUUCUUCGUCACUUGACGGUACCAGAUGAAUAAGCACCGGCUAACUCCGUGCCAGCAGCCGCGGUAACAC